UCUCCUCUUCCCUAUAAACCAAAUUAAUAAUGAUUGCAGAUACAUCGAUACAGAUUGAGGGUUUAUGAAUAAGAAUGUGAAGCGAUUGCAGGCCACAGAUUUAAAUCCUUCUUAACAUUCUCCAAAGGGAUCUCACAUCCACUUUUCAAACAAAGAUAUAGCAAUAACCAGGAGGAACCUCAGACAUACUCUACGUUGGAAGAUGUAGAAAUCCGUUGAUCGAGCGUUGGAUUAGUGCUUCAUAUUCCACGCUCAUACACAGAGACGUUGAGGAUGUGUGAAAACUAUUAGUUGCCAGACAAAGAGUCGUUGAUGCUAUGUUACAACAUGAAUCAAGACAAAACCAAACGAAGAUUUGGAAGCUUACAAUAGCAGCUGAGGAAAAGUUCGUCUAAGUAUACGGAUUGACGGGAAUCCUGUCACGGGAUGUAUCCGUCGCAAGAAAGUGUACCACAACGUGUAGUAAACAAACUGAGUCGUCACUUUGCAAUUCACGAUUCAUUUCUCGUAUGUCAGCAAUUGGAUACAGUUCAUAAGUGAUUUUACAUCAAUCUUAACAGGUUUAUGUAUUGGACUAUAUAUUCUUAUUUAAAGUAAUUAAUUUAGAAAAUUGAUUGCACAGAGAAGAUUAAGUGAAGGAAAUAAAAACAGAUGUAGAAUUAGAAGAAGGGUUUGGAACAUAGAAACCCUCAAACCUCAAGAGGCAUCAACCCACAUGCUCCAAUUCGAUUAUGCACUCAUCUCAUGG